rnacentral:rRNA from 1 species
GUGGGGAAUAUUGGACAAUGGGCGAAAGCCUGAUCCAGCCAUGCCGCGUGUGUGAAGAAGGUCUUCGGAUUGUAAAGCACUUUAAGUUGGGAGGAAGGGCAGUAAGUUAAUACCUUGCUGUUUUGACGUUACCGACAGAAUAAGCACCGGCUAACUUCGUGCCAGCAGCCGCGGUAAUACGAAGGGUGCAAGCGUUACUCGGAAUUACUGGGCGUAAAGCGCGCGUAGGUGGUUUUGUAAGUUGGAGGUGAAAUCCCCGGGCUCAACCUGGGAACUGCCUCCAAAACUGCAGGACUAGAGUACGGUAGAGGGUAGUGGAAUUUCCUGUGUAGCGGUGAAAUGCGUAGAUAUAGGAAGGAACACCAGUGGCGAAGGCGACUACUUGGACUGAUACUGACACUGAGGUGCGAAAGCGUGGGGAGCAAACAGGAUUAGAAACCCGUGUAGUCC